rnacentral:rRNA from 1 species
UACAGAGGGGGCAAGCGUUAUUCGGAAUUAUUGGGCGUAAAGGGCGCGUAGGCGGCUUGGCAAGUGGAUGGUGAAAUCCCUCGGCUUAACCGAGGAACUGCCGUCCAAACUGCUUUGCUUGAGACCGGGAGAGGUGAGUGGAAUUCCCAGUGUAGCGGUGAAAUGCGCAGAUAUCAGGAAGAACACCCGUGGCGAAGGCGGCUCUCUGGGACGGUACUGACGCUGAGACGCGAAAGCGUGGGAGCGAACAGG